CCCUCCCGAAUCACCCUGUAUCCCUCUCAUCCUCGUCCACCCACGAAACCCUAGCCCCCUUCUCCCAAUCGCCACUGCCGCCUUCUCCCUCCCAGAUCCAAUCCUGUGCGCGUCGGCCACCUCCCUCCAGCGGAGCUCGACCCCCACCCCCCGCCACUGCUCCACCCUCUCCCGUGAGGGUCUCUGAUGCCCGCGCGCGCACAACCUCCAUCCCUUGUUGCUCCAAUCCGGCCAGCGCGCCCUCCACCUCGUCUCUCCCGAUCCCACCGGUCGGCGGUGACCUCCACCCUAGCAGUCGUACUCCACCCUAGCAGUCGAUCCCGACCAUCGCUGCUUCACCAGCCUCCUCCUCUGGCAUCUCCACGAGGGCGGCCGAUGCCAGACAGGCCGUCGACGCGCCGGACCUCAAGGCCGGUCGUGCUGCUCCUUCUGCCUGCGUCCCCUCAACCGUUGUCUGCAAGAUCUCCCUCCUCAAGGAGAUGCAGCAUCGGAACAUCAUCAGGCUGCAGGACGUGGUGCAUAACGAGAAGAGGGAGGGCACCAUGGCGAAGAAGGAGGGACCUUGCGGCCAUUGCGGAGUCACAAGUGAGGUGUAUUGUUCCUGUACCCGAGUGGCUACAUCAGGGAAGACCCACUUGGAGUCCCCAACAACCUGAGCCCUAUGUGCAGCAAGUCGUUGUCGGGAGGCGCCUGCGCUGACGGUUUAUGGGACCGACUACAACACCAAGGAUGGAACAGGGGUGGUGAAAUUAUGGUACAGAAUACCAGAAAUUCUUCUGGGUGUGAGGCAGUAUUCUACCCUUGUUGGUGAAGUGCGAAUCCAUGUUCGAAGUUUUGAAGCAUAUCGACAAAGAGUAGCAUAUUAUGUGUUGUAAUUGUAGGCAGUAGUAGGCAUAUCUGAGUUGUAAUAUACUAUAACGAUUGUAAUAGAUUAAUGUAGUAUUGGUUUUGGACCAAUUUCAUUUGCUCUUUGGUCUGUUCGAAAGAAUGUUGUGCAUGUGAUUUGAAUACCCGUGAAAUGGAAACCUGACAAGUGGAUCCAAGUUAUAA